rnacentral:rRNA from 1 species
GACGAACGCUGGCGGCGUGCUUAACACAUGCAAGUCGAACGGAAAGGCCCUGCUUUUGUGGUGUGCUCGAGUGGCGAACGGGUGAGUAACACGUGAGUAACCUGCCCUUGACUUUGGGAUAACUUCAGGAAACUGGGGCUAAUACCGGAUAGGAGCUCCUGCUGCAUGGUGGGGGUUGGAAAGUUUCGGCGGUUGGGGAUGGACUCGCGGCUUAUCAGCUUGUUGGUGGGGUAGUGGCUUACCAAGGCUUUGACGGGUAGCCGGCCUGAGAGGGUGACCGGCCACAUUGGGACUGAGAUACGGCCCAGACUCCUACGGGAGGCAGCAGUGGGGAAUAUUGCACAAUGGGCGGAGGCCUGAUGCAGCAACGCCGCGUGCGGGAUGACGGCCUUCGGGUUGUAAACCGCUUUCGCCUGUGACGAAGCGUGAGUGACGGUAAUGGGUAAAGAAGCACCGGCUAACUACGUG